rnacentral:tRNA from 1 species
GGGCUGGGGCUCAAUGGUAGAGCACUUUCCUGACAUGCAUGAGGCACUGGAUUCGAUCCUCAGCAGCACA